GAUGAAGAACGCAGUGAAAUGCGAUAAGUAAUGUGAAUUGCAGAAUUCAGUGAAUCAUCGAAUCUUUGAACGCACAUUGCGCCCGCCAGUAUUCUGGCGGGCAUGUCUGUUCGAGCGUCAUUACAACCCUCAGGCCCCCGGGCCUGGCGUUGGGGAUCGGCGGAAGCCCCCUGCGGGCACAACGCCGUCCCCCAAAUACAGUGGCGGUCCCGCCGCAGCUUCCAUUGCGUAGUAGCUAACACCUCGCAACUGGAGAGCGGCGCGGCCACGCCGUAAAACACCCAACUUCUGAAUGUUGACCUCGAAUCAGGUAGGAAUACCCGCUGAACUUAAGCAUAUCAAUAAGCGGAGGA
rnacentral:misc_RNA from 1 species